UACGUAGGGUGCGAGCGUUAAUCGGAAUUACUGGGCGUAAAGCGAGCGCAGACGGUUACUUAAGCAGGAUGUGAAAUCCCCGGGCUUAACCUGGGAACUGCGUUCUGAACUGGGUGACUAGAGUGUGUCAGAGGGAGGUAGAAUUCCACGUGUAGCAGUGAAAUGCGUAGAGAUGUGGAGGAAUACCGAUGGCGAAGGCAGCCUCCUGGGAUGACACUGACGUUCAUGCGCGAAAGCGUGGGUAGCAAACAGG
rnacentral:rRNA from 1 species